AUUGAACGCUGGCGGCAGGCCUAACACAUGCAAGUCGAGCGGCAGCGGAAAGUAGCUUGCUACUUUGCCGGCGAGCGGCGGACGGGUGAGUAAUGUCUGGGAAACUGCCCGAUGGAGGGGGAUAACUACUGGAAACGGUGGCUAAUACCGCAUAACGUCUUCGGACCAAAGUGGGGGACCUUCGGGCCUCACACCAUCGGAUGUGCCCAGAUGGGAUUAGCUAGUAGGUGGGGUAAUGGCUCACCUAGGCGACGAGCCCUAGCUGGUCUGAGAGGAUGACCAGCCACACUGGAACUGAGACACGGUCCAGACUCCUACGGGAGGCAGCAGUGGGGAAUAUUGCACAAUGGGCGCAAGCCUGAUGCAGCCAUGCCGCGUGUGUGAAGAAGGCCUUCGGGUUGUAAAGCACUUUCAGCGAGGAGGAAGGCAGUCGUGUUAAUAGCGCGACUGAUUGACGUUACUCGCAGAAGAAGCACCAGCUAACUCCGUGCCAGCAGCCGCGGUAA
rnacentral:rRNA from 1 species